GCACAACGCGAAGAACCUUACCAGGCCUUGACAUGCAGAGAACUUUCCAGAGAUGGAUUGGUGCCUUCGGGAACUCUGACACAGGUGCUGCAUGGCUGUCGUCAGCUCGUGUCGUGAGAUGUUGGGUUAAGUCCCGCAACGAGCGCAACCCUUGUCCUUAGUUGCCAGCACGUAAAGGUGGGAACUCUAAGGUGACUGCCGGUGACAAACCGGAGGAAGGUGGGGAUGACGUCAAAUCAUCAUGCCCCUUAUGACCUGGGCUACACACGUGCUACAAUGGAUGGUACAAAGGGCUGCAAGACCGCGAGGUCAAGCCAAUCCCAUAAAGCCAGUCGUAGUCCGGAUCGCAGUCUGCAACUCGACUGCGUGAAGUCGGAAUCGCUAGGUAAUCGUGGAUCAGAAUGUCACGGUGAAUACGUUCCCGGGGUCUUGUACACACCGAGUCGUGGGGGAGGGCAA
rnacentral:rRNA from 1 species